rnacentral:tRNA from 1 species
GGCAUCGCACUUAUAGCUCAAUGGUAGAGCUCCGGCCUGUCAAGCCAAAGGCCAGUGGUUCGAUCCCCGUCCGGGACACCA